GGAUAGUGGCUCAGUGGUAGAGUUCUUGCCUCACAUGUGUGAGGCACUGGGUUUGAUUCUCAGCACCA
rnacentral:tRNA from 1 species